AAACCGCCCAGAGGUAAACGGGUGGAUCCGCAAAGUCGGCCCGCGGAAUUCAGCGCGGCGCGCGGACCUGGGCGGCCGUGGUUAGGGAUCCCUGGGACCCAUCCGCGGCGUCGUUCGGGUCUCCGCCGCGUGCACUUUCCGCAGGCAGAGAGCCACAACCGGUUCUGCGGCGGCUAUAAGCUCGGAGGGUUGUAGGUGGGGGCGCUUGCGUCCCUACCAGUCUUCUUUGGCGAGUCGUUGCGGGACCGAGGGAAAAAGCCGUGCGCUUCGAGGCCACCCUCCCCUCCGGAAGAGUUCGACUGGGAGAGACUGGGCAACCGUGUCUCCCGACCGCUCAUCUGCGAUCGGCGUGGGGCUGGCCGGGCGCGCCUUUGUCAAGGUUGGUGGCAAGUCUGUCGGCAUUCCACCCGACCCGUCUUGAA
rnacentral:rRNA from 1 species